GAGUGAACGCUGGCGGUAGGCCUAACCCAUGCAAGUCGAACGGCAGCACAGUAAGAGCUUGCUCUUACGGGUGGCGAGUGGCGGACGGGUGAGGAAUACAUCGGAAUCUACUUUUUCGUGGGGGAUAACGUAGGGAAACUUACGCUAAUACCGCAUACGACCUACGGGUGAAAGCAGGGGAUCUUCGGACCUUGCGCGAUUGAAUGAGCCGAUGUCGGAUUAGCUAGUUGGCGGGGUAAAGGCCCGCCAAGGCGACGAUCCGUAGCUGGUCUGAGAGGAUGAUCAGCCACACUGGAACUGAGACACGGUCCAGACUCCUACGGGAGGCAGCAGUGGGGAAUAUUGGACAAUGGGCGCAAGCCUGAUCCAGCCAUACCGCGUGGGUGAAGAAGGCCUUCGGGUUGUAAAGCCCUUUUGUCGGGAAAGAAAAGCAGCAGGUUAAUACCCCGCUGUUCUGACGGUACCCAAAGAAUAAGCACCGGCUAACUUCGUG
rnacentral:rRNA from 1 species